rnacentral:rRNA from 1 species
UACGUAGGGGGCAAGCGUUGUCCGGAUUUAUUGGGCGUAAAGCGCUCGCAGGUGGUUCGAUGCGUCGUGCGUGAAAGACCCCGGCUCAACUGGGGAGGGUCGUGCGAUACGGUCGAACUGGAGGCCAGUAGGGGGAUGCGGAAUUCCGGGUGUAGUGGUGGAAUGCGUAGAGAUCCGGAGGAACACCAGCGGCGAAGGCGGCAUCCUGGACUGGGCCUGACACUCAUGAGCGAAAGCGUGGGGAGCGAUCCGG